AAAGGAGUAAAUAUUUGGUAUCGCAACCUCUUUAUGCUUUUUCUUGGGGAACUUUAGAUCUAACACAUUCAUUACAAGAAUUUUGCCUUGAAUGUACCAUUUAUGCACAUUCCCAAUAAACACGUGGUCAGACAAAGAUGCCUAUAACCAGACACUGCUGAAACUAGGGGUUUGGUUCAAGAAGAAUUAUGAAGGGAUCCAUACUUACCAAGUGGAGAGAGACAGUAAUCUCAUAAUGUUUGUAUUACUUGUAAUUUGUAUUUUCAAGACUUGAAUUAUUGUACAGCCUUUUAAAUUAUAAUUUUAUAGCAGAAUUUGUGGAUUAAAUGUAA